UGGAUCCAGACUUUGAUUAUGGCUCAGGACGAACGCUGGCGGCGCGCCUAACACAUGCAAGUCGAACGAGAGAGAAGGAGCUUGCUUCUUCGAUCGAGUGGCGAACGGGCGAGUAACGCGUGAGGAACCUGCCUCAAAGAGGGGGACAACAGUUGGGAACGACUGCUAAUACCGCAUAAGCCCACGGGUCGGCAUCGACCUGAGGGAAAAGGAGCAAUCCGCUUUGAGAUGGCCUCGCGUCCGAUUAGCUGGUUGGUGAGGUAACGGCCCACCAAGGCGACGAUCGGUAGCCGGACUGAGAGGUUGAACGGCCACAUUGGGACUGAGACACGGCCCAGACUCCUACGGGAGGCAGCAGUGGGGAAUAUUGCACAAUGGGGGAAACCCUGAUGCAGCGACGCCGCGUGGAGGAAGAAGGUCCUCGGAUUGUAAACUCCUGUUGUUGAGGAAGAUAAUGACGGUACUCAACAAGGAAGUGACGGCUAACUACGUGCCAGCAGCCGCGGUAAAACGUGGGUCACAAGCGUUGUCCGGAAUUACUGGGUGUAAAGGGAGCGCAGGCGGGAAGACAAGUUGGAAGUGAAAUCUAUGGGCUCAACCCAUAAACUGCUUUCAAAACUGUUUUUCUUGAGUAGUGCAGAGGUAGGCGGAAUUCCCGGUGUAGCGGUGGAAUGCGUAGAUAUCGGGAGGAACACCAGUGGCGAAGGCGGCCUACUGGGCACCAACUGACGCUGAGGCUCGAAAGUGUGGGUAGCAAACAGGAUUAGAUACCCUGGUAGUCCACACCGUAAACGAUGAUUACUAGGUGUUGGAGGAUUGACCCCUUCAGUGCCGCAGUUAACACAAUAAGUAAUCCACCUGGGGAGUACGACCGCAAGGUUGCAACUCAAAUGAAUUGACGGA
rnacentral:rRNA from 1 species